AAUUGUGAUGCCCAGAAUGACCUCAGUUGGCGAAUCAAAACUGUUUGGCGAAAAUGCUACGAGAAGAGGAGACAGGGAGAAGAGAGAACAUUAUGGAGGCCCCACUGCACAAAGACUAGCUGCUGCCACGUCACAACUGUCUGACGAAGACUGUGCUGGUGGAAUUCCCCCGUUUUAAAGAUGUCAAGGGCCUGGUUGAGCUGGACUUAAUGGAGAUAUUUGGAGAGGACACUUCACCGAACGGCUCAGCUCCAGGCCCUCAUCGAAAUCUCUGAGGCUUCUGGCCAUGUAAGCAGUGAUGAUGAAGAGGUCGGGAUAGUGCCAUGGCCAGGAUCCUCCUCCUGUUUGUUUCCACUGUCAGCACAGGGCCGCAAACGUCCAGCGAAAAUGUCAGCAGCUGCAGCAUAGAAGCGCCUUGUGAUGUCUCAGAAGACAGGAACCAGUGUACAGCACCACCUGGACACGAUUGCUGAGAGCAGGCAGCCCCACCUACCGGGACGAAGAAAAGUCAGGUUCACUGCUACUUCAUCAUACUAGACAUUGCUUGCCAUGCCGUGAGUGCUUUUGACAAACUGUUUAAAGCGGACUAUGUAUUUGCCACAUCCUACAACACCUCACUUUCCAAAAUGUACAUGUUCAACCAGACCUGGGUAGCACUUUCUUGUUGGACUAUUGGAUUACUUUGUGGAACUUAACGCACUGAAUCUUUCAGAACGGCAACUACCCUAAGCACACAAAUACAUCAAUAAAAGAAUGACUUCACCAGAAUAGGUUUGAGUGGGGUUUUGGAAUGGUACAGACCUAGUUCAGGCCUGAAUCCCAUCAGACACCUGCUGGGUGACCUCAGGAUAUGCACUUGCUAUCUGUCAGAUCUGGAGUGCUUUUGCAAAUAGGAGUGGACAAUAGAAAAAUUCCA